rnacentral:rRNA from 1 species
UUCACCGCUACACAUGGAGUUCCACUCUCCUCUUCUGCACUCAAGAAUGACAGUUUCCGAUGCAGUUCCACGGUUGAGCCGUGGGCUUUCACAUCAGACUUAUCAUUCCGCCUGCGCUCGCUUUACGCCCAAUAAAUCCGGACAACGCUUGCCACCUACGUAUUACCGCGGCUGCUGGCACGUAGUUAGCCGUGACUUUCUGGUUGAUUACCGUCAAAUAAAGACCAGUUACUGCCUCUAUCCUUCUUCUCCAACAACAGAGU